rnacentral:rRNA from 1 species
UGGGGAAUAUUGCACAAUGGGGGAAACCCUGAUGCAGCGACGCCGCUUGAACGAAGAAGGUAUUCGUAUCGUAAAGUUCUGUCCUAUGGGAAGAUAAUGACAGUACCAUAGAAGAAAGCUCCGGCUAAAUACGUGCCAGCAGCCGCGGUAAUACGUAUGGAGCGAGCGUUGUCCGGAAUUAUUGGGCGUAAAGGGUACGAAGGCGGUUUAAUAAGUCGAAUGUUAAAGAUCGGGGCUCAACCCCGUAAAGCAUUGGAAACUGAUAAACUUGAGUAGUGGAGAGGAAAGUGGAAUUCCUAGUGUAGUGGUGAAAUACGUAGAUAUUAGGAGGAAUACCAGUAGCGAAGGCGACUUUCUGGACACAAACUGACGCUGAGGUACGAAAGCGUGGGGAGCAAACAGG